ensembl:misc_RNA 7SK 7SK RNA
GCAUUAUCAAGAUCUGGCUGCAACAUCUGUCACCCCGUCGACCGCCAGGUUGAUUCGGCUGAUCUGGCUGGCUAGGCGGGUGUCCCCUUCCUCCCUCACCGCUCCAUGUGCAUCCCUCCCGAAGCUGCAAAGAAGACGACCAUCCCCGCUAGAGAAGGACCUGUCUUCGGUCAAGGAUAUACGAGUAGCUGUGCUCCCCUGCUAGACCCUCCAAACAAGCUCUCAAGAAACACAUUGUUACAGAGAAAUCAUUCUAUUGAUAUAAAAGAACAGUAAUAUUUUGCUGAAAAACUCAGUAGAAAAUAUU